rnacentral:rRNA from 1 species
UACGUAGGGUCCGAGCGUUGUCCGGAAUUAUUGGGCGUAAAGAGCUCGUAGGCGGUCUGUCGCGUCUGCUGUGAAAACUCGGGGCUUAACCCCGGGCCUGCAGUGGGUACGGGCAGACUAGAGUGCGGUAGGGGAGACUGGAAUUCCUGGUGUAGCGGUGAAAUGCGCAGAUAUCAGGAGGAACACCGAUGGCGAAGGCAGUGGGCUGGGCCGGCACUGACGCUGAGGAGCGAAAGCGUGGGGAGCGAACAGG